GGGACACGUGGUAUCCUGUCUGAAUAUGGGGGGACCAUCCUCCAAGGCUAAAUACUCCUGACUGACCGAUAGUGAACCAGUACCGUGAGGGAAAGGCGAAAAGAACCCCGGCGAGGGGAGUGAAAAAGAACCUGAAACCGUGUACGUACAAGCAGUGGGAGCACGCUUAGGCGUGUGACUGCGUACCUUUUGUAUAAUGGGUCAGCGACUUAUAUUCUGUAGCAAGGUUAACCGAAUAGGGGAGCCGAAGGGAAACCGAGUCUUAACUGGGCGUUAAGUUGCAGGGUAUAGACCCGAAACCCGGUGAUCUAGCCAUGGGCAGGUUGAAGGUUGGGUAACACUAACUGGAGGACCGAACCGACUAAUGUUGAAAAAUUAGCGGAUGACUUGUGGCUGGGGGUGAAAGGCCAAUCAAACCGGGAGAUAGCUGGUUCUCCCCGAAAGCUAUUUAGGUAGCGCCUCGUGAAUUCAUCUCCGGGGGUAGAGCACUGUUUCGGCAAGGGGGUCAUCCCGACUUACCAACCCGAUGCAAACUGCGAAUACCGGAGAAUGUUAUCACGGGAGACACACGGCGGGUGCUAACGUCCGUCGUGAAGAGGGAAACAACCCAGACCGCCAGCUAAGGUCCCAAAGUCAUGGUUAAGUGGGAAACGAUGUGGGAAGGCCCAGACAGCCAGGAUGUUGGCUUAGAAGCAGCCAUCAUUUAAAGAAAGCGUAAUAGCUCACUGGUCGAGUCGGCCUGCGCGGAAGAUGUAACGGGGCUAAACCAUGCACCGAAGCUGCGGCAGCGACGCUUAUGCGUUGUUGGGUAGGGGAGCGUUCUGUAAGCCUGUGAAGGUGUGCUGUGAGGCAUGCUGGAGGUAUCAGAAGUGCGAAUGCUGACAUAAGUAACGAUAAAGCGGGUGAAAAGCCCGCUCGCCGGAAGACCAAGGGUUCCUGUCCAACGUUAAUCGGGGCAGGGUGAGUCGACCCCUAAGGCGAGGCCGAAAGGCGUAGUCGAUGGGAAACAGGUUAAUAUUCCUGUACUUGGUGUUACUGCGAAGGGGGGACGGAGAAGGCUAUGUUGGCCGGGCGACGGUUGUCCCGGUUUAAGCGUGUAGGCUGGUUUUCCAGGCAAAUCCGGAAAAUCAAGGCUGAGGCGUGAUGACGAGGCACUACGGUGCUGAAGCAACAAAUGCCCUGCUUCCAGGAAAAGCCUCUAAGCAUCAGGUAACAUCAAAUCGUACCCCAAACCGACACAGGUGGUCAGGUAGAGAAUACCAAGGCGCUUGAGAGAACUCGGGUGAAGGAACUAGGCAAAAUGGUGCCGUAACUUCGGGAGAAGGCACGCUGAUAUGUAGGUGAAGUCCCUUGCGGAUGGAGCUGAAAUCAGUCGAAGAUACCAGCUGGCUGCAACUGUUUAUUAAAAACACAGCACUGUGCAAACACGAAAGUGGACGUAUACGGUGUGACGCCUGCCCGGUGCCGGAAGGUUAAUUGAUGGGGUCAGCGCAAGCGAAGCUCUUGAUCGAAGCCCCGGUAAACGGCGGCCGUAACUAUAACGGUCCUAAGGUAGCGAAAUUCCUUGUCGGGUAAGUUCCGACCUGCACGAAUGGCGUAAUGAUGGCCAGGCUGUCUCCACCCGAGACUCAGUGAAAUUGAACUCGCUGUGAAGAUGCAGUGUACCCGCGGCAAGACGGAAAGACCCCGUGAACCUUUACUAUAGCUUGACACUGAACAUUGAGCCUUGAUGUGUAGGAUAGGUGGGAGGC
rnacentral:rRNA from 1 species